rnacentral:miRNA from 1 species
CCCUAGAUGUUGCUGAACUACAACUCCCAUGAUUCUUUGAAUUACAUAGGUAGCCAGAGAGUCAUGGGAGUUGUAGUUCAGCAACAUCUGGGG